rnacentral:ncRNA from 1 species
CGGCGUCUGAGGCUUCGUGCCCAAAGUGCUAUGCUUCGGCCGGCAAAAAACAGUCAAACUCAGAACUGGCACGGACCGGGGGAAUCCGACUGUCUAAUUAAAACAAAGCAUUGCGAUGGCCGCUGGUCGGUGUUGACGCAAUGUGAUUUCUGCCCAGUGCUCUGAAUGUCAACGUGAAGAGAUUCAUCAAAGCGCGGGUAAACGGCGGGAGUAACUAUGACUCUCUUUGUGGAAUCAGAUACGGGUUGGGCCCUCCGACACCCCCGUGGUGACCAGUGCCACAGUGAGUUACCGCGGGGUUUGGGCAAAGGAUAGUGUGGCAGCGUUGCAUGAUCUUGGGCUUGGGCGCUACGACGUCAAGUUGAUGACCGUGCGCGCGCUUCAGGGGGGGUUCGGUGUUUCCGUGUUCACCAAAAGAUGACCACCGUGGUGACACGGACGAUGAUCCGCAGAUAAUGGCCGUCCCAGGGCCUGUUGUCCCAGAAUAGGACAUUAAAGGGUCCCUCUUCCCUACCAUCGUAAAGAGGAUAAGUGUAUUCCAGGGCGUUGGGCGGCCGAAGGGCAUCCCCAGAGCUCUGAGAAAGAGCGGGGUGAGCCAGUAGCUCUUUGCGCCCUCCAAGUCCUUUAAGACCUAGGACUUCCACCCUUUUUUUUUUCUUUUUUUUUUGGAGGUUGAGUGAUUACUUCCUUCAAUUUUUUUUUUUUUUUAGUUAUUUUAAUUUUUUUUUUUUUUUUGGUGGGAGGGGUUGGUCCAGAAUUUCUGGUACCUACAGCAAAUUGCUCCUAGGCCAGGGGCUGUUUGGCCUCCUCUGCCCUGCGGUCCCUGAUGCUCUGGAGUACAAAAAAAAAUAGCCAAA